GGUGAACGCUGGCGGCGUGCUUAAGACAUGCAAGUCGAACGGCAGUCUUCGGACUGUAGUGGCGCACGGGUGAGUAACGCGUAACUGACCUACCCCAAAGUCGCGGAUAACGAUUCGAUAGAAUCGCUAAUACGUGAUGUGCUGUCAGAUUGUGUUCUGCCAGUAAAGAUUGAUUGCUUUGGGAUGGGGUUGCGUUCCAUCAGCUAGUUGGUGGGGUAAAGGCCCACCAAGGCGACGACGGAUAGCCGGCCUGAGAGGGUGGCCGGCCACAGGGGCACUGAGACACGGGUCCCACUCCUACGGGAGGCAGCAGUUAGGAAUCUUCCACAAUGGGCGAAAGCCCGAUGGAGCGACGCCGCGUGAGGGAUGAAGGUCUUCGGAUCGUAAACCUCUGAAUCAGGGACGAAAGACACUUCGGUGGGAUGACGGUACCUGAGUAAUAGCACCGGCUAACUCCGUGCCAGCAGCCGCGGUAACAC
rnacentral:rRNA from 1 species